rnacentral:rRNA from 1 species
GACGAACGCUGGCGGCGUGCUUAACACAUGCCAGUCGAACGAAGAGCGAUGGAAGCUUGCUUCUAUCAAUCUUAGUGGCGAACGGGUGAGUAACGCGUAAUCAACCUGCCCUUCAGAGGGGGACAACAGUUGGAAACGACUGCUAAUACCGCAUACGAUCUAAUCUCGGCAUCGAGGAUAGAUGAAAGGUGGCCUCUACAUGUAAGCUACCACUGAAGGAGGGGAUUGCGUCUGAUUAGCUAGUUGGAGGGGGAACGGCCCCCCAAGGCGAUGACAAGUAGCCGGUCUGAGAGGAUGAACGGGCACAUUGGGACUGAGACACGGCCCAGACUCCUACGGGAGGCAGCAGUGGGGAAUCUUCCGCAAUGGACGAAAGUCUGACGGCGCAACGCCGCGUGAGUGAUGACGGCCUUCGGGUUGUAAAGCUAUGUUAAUCGGGACGAAAGGCCUUCUUGCGAAUAGUGAGAAGGAUUGACGGUACCGGAAUAGAAAGCCACGGCUAACUACGUG